UACGAUUGAAUAGGAUUCAAUCUUUGUGCCUAUAAAAGGGGUCCUCUCCUAAGGUCCUAAUACUAUCCAAGCUGUCCCCUCUCCACAUCCAAAGAGCUCCCCACGCCCCUCUUCCAUCUCCCUUUCUCUUCUUCUCCUUUGGGCAUCCCAUAUACGCCCCAUACUUGGGAUGCGCAUCCCAAGUGUUGCACACGCCCAAGGUGUUGGGUGGCCCUUCAUCUGCUGGUUGUUGAUCUCUUGUAGCACCACAAGGUAAGGAGAAAGGCU
rnacentral:lncRNA from 1 species